GCCUUCGAGGAUCAAUGGUGAUCAUCCCGUUCAAAUACCACUCUUGCCAGGUCAUUUAUACGGGAAGGUAUGAGUUCGAAUCCCAUCGGAGGUC